GGUGACCUACGGGGCGCAGCAGUGGGGAAUAUUGCACAAUGGGGGAAACCCUGAUGCAGCAACGCCGCGUGCGGGAUGGAGGCCUUCGGGUUGUAAACCGCUUUUGUUCAAGGGCAAGGCACGGUCUUUGGCCGUGUUGAGUGGAUUGUUCGAAUAAGCACCGGCUAACUACGUGCCAGCAGCCGCGGUAAUACGUAGGGUGCAAGCGUUAUCCGGAUUUAUUGGGCGUAAAGAGCUCGUAGGCGGUUCGUCGCGUCCGGUGUGAAAGUCCAUCGCUUAACGGUGGAUCCGCGCCGGGUACGGGC
rnacentral:rRNA from 1 species